rnacentral:rRNA from 1 species
UACGGAGGGUGCGAGCGUUGUCCGGAAUCACUGGGCGUAAAGGGCGCGUAGGCGGCCUGAUAAGUAGGGGGUGAAAUCCUGCGGCUUAACCGCAGGGCUGCCUUCUAAACUGUCAGGCUCGAGCACAGUAGAGGCAGGUGGAAUUCCCGGUGUAGCGGUGGAAUGCGUAGAGAUCGGGAAGAACAUCAGUGGCGAAGGCGGCCUGGCUGGGCUGUUGCUGGACGCUGAGGCGCG